AGAAUAUGAGAACCCGUCUCUUAACUUUUAACUAAAAAAGCUAAGAACCGUCUCUUAAAUAAGAGUUUUAAGAACCGGGUCUUAACUUUUUUAGUUAAAAGUUAAGAGACGAGUUCUUAUAUUCC
rfam:Brassica oleracea var. oleracea cultivar TO1000 chromosome C5, whole genome shotgun sequence